AUUGAACGCUGGCGGCAUGCUUUACACAUGCAAGUCGAACGGUAACAGGCCGCAAGGUGCUGAAGAGUGGCGAACGGGUGAGUAAUGCAUCGGAACGUGCCCAGUCGUGGGGGAUAACGCAGCGAAAGCUGCGCUAAUACCGCAAACGAUCUAUGGAUGAAAGCGGGGGACCGAAAGGCCUCGCGCUAUGGGAGCGGCCGAUGGCGGAUUAGGUUGUUGGUGGGGUAAAGGCCUACCAAGGCGACGAUCAGUAGCUGGUCUGAGAGGACGAUCAGCCACACUGGGACUGAGACACGGCCCAGACUCCUACGGGAGGCAGCAGUGGGGAAUUUUGGACAGUGGGCGAAAGCCUGAUCCAGCAAUGCCGCGUGUGUGAAGAAGGCCUUCGGGUUGUAAAGCACUUUUGUCCGGAAAGAAAUGGCUCUGGUUAAUACCUGGGGUCGAUGACGGUACCGGAAGAAUAAGGACCGGCUAACUACGUGCCAGCCGCCGCAGUAAGAC
rnacentral:rRNA from 1 species